ensembl:miRNA
GUGUAUCCUCAGCUUUGAGAACUGAAUUCCAUGGGUUGUAAUUGAAUCCUUUGUCAGACCCAUGGGGCUCAGUUCUUCAGCUUGGAUAUUUCUGUCUUC